rnacentral:rRNA from 1 species
AAAGCGUGGGGAGCGAACAGGAUUAGAUACCCUGAUAGUCCACGCCGUAAACGAUGAGUGCUAAGUGUUAGGGGGUUUCCGCCCCUUAGUGCUGCAGCUAACGCAUUAAGCACUCCGCGUGGGGAGUACGGUCGCAAGACUGAAACUCAAAGGAAUUGACGGGGGCCCGCACAAGCGGUGGAGCAUGUGGUUUAAUUUGAAGCAACGCGAAGAACCUUACCAGGUCUUGACAUCCUCUGACAACCCUAGAGAUAGGGCUUUCCCUUCGGGGACAGAGUGACAGGUGGUGCAUGGUUGUCGUCAGCUCGUGUCGUGAGAUGUUGGGUUAAGUCCCGCAACGAGCGCAACCCUUGAUCUUAGUUGCCAGCAUUCAGUUGGGCACUCUAAGGUGACUGCCGGUGACAAACCGGAGGAAGGUGGGGAUGACGUCAAAUCAUCAUGCCCCUUAUGACCUGGGCUACACACGUGCUACAAUGGACAGAACAAAGGGCUGCAAGACCGCAAGGUUUAGCCAAUCCCAUAAAUCUGUUCUCAGUUCGGAUCGCAGUCUGCAACUCGACUGCGUGAAGCUGGAAUCGCUAGUAAUCGCGGAUCAGCAUGCCGCGGUGAAUACGUUCCCGGGCCUUGUACACACCGCCCGUCACACCACGAGAGUUUGCAACACCCGAAGUCGGUGAGGUAACCU